rnacentral:rRNA from 1 species
AUUGAACGCUGGCGGCAGGCCUAACACAUGCAAGUCGAGCGGAUGAAGGGAGCUUGCUCCUGGAUUCAGCGGCGGACGGGUGAGUAAUGCCUAGGAAUCUGCCUGGUAGUGGGGGAUAACGUCCGGAAACGGGCGCUAAUACCGCAUACGUCCUGAGGGAGAAAGUGGGGGAUCUUCGGACCUCACGCUAUCAGGUGAGCCUAGGUCGGAUUAGCUAGUUGGUGGGGUAAAGGCCUACCAAGGCGACGAUCCGUAACUGGUCUGAGAGGAUGAUCAGUCACACUGGAACUGAGACACGGUCCAGACUCCUACGGGAGGCAGCAGUGGGGAACAUUGGACAAUGGGCGAAAGCCUGAUCCAGCCAUGCCGCGUGUGUGAAGAAGGUCUUCGGAUUGUAAAGCACUUUAAGUUGGGAGGAAGGGCAGUAAGUUAAUACCUUGCUGUUUUGACGUUACCAACAGAAUAAGCACCGGCUAACUUCGUG